UUCGUUAGCAAUAGUUAGUAAGAAGGAAGAACUAUAUGGGGAUUCUUCAUCUCUGAAAUCGAGAGACUUUGUUAUGUAUGCUGGAGGGCUUGUUUGGGGAUUG